AGCUGCUGUACGCUGAUCAAGCGUGCCGCCCACAGAUCAAACACGAGUGACUGUCUCCUUUUCCCUUUCGAAAGUCUUACUCCUUUCGAAAGUCUAUAGCGAGUCGGUUAAGAUAUGACCGUAGCAGCUCCGCAAGGAGGUGAUAAAAACUAGUUCCGUAGGUGAACCUGCGGAAGGAU
rnacentral:rRNA from 1 species